UACGUAGGGUGCGAGCGUUAAUCGGAAUUACUGGGCGUAAAGCGUGCGCAGGCGGUUCGUUGUGUCGGCGGUGAAAUCCCCGGGCUCAACCUGGGAAUGGCCGUUGAAACUGGCGAACUGGAGUGUGGCAGAGGGGGGUGGAAUUCCGCGUGUAGCAGUGAAAUGCGCAGAUAUCAGGAGGAACACCGGUGGCGAAGGCGGGUCUCUGGGCCGAUACUGACGCUGAGGAGCGAAAGCGUGGGGAGCGAACAGG
rnacentral:rRNA from 1 species